AUUCUUGGUCACAGGAUCACUCACUUCAAAUGUGGAAUUACUUUGCUUAGUACAUUUAUACACUUAGGUGGGGAAGUCUGUGGACAGGGCUUGAGCGGGUAUCUAGGAGAUAUUUAGAGGAAAAUGCCCGCCUUCUCGCCUCUCUUCAAUCUAGCAUAGGGGUUGGGGGUUGGUUCCCCCACCCGAUUCUAGGAUAAGGUUUAUUUUCCUAUCGUCUUCCGUUUGGGGAAGGGACUUAAAAGAGAUUUGCUGCGGUGGUCUGGCGUUAGGUAUCCGCAGAGGGGCGGACAGACGUGACUGAAGACAUCCGUAUUGCAAAGGCGAAGGGAUGGGCGGAGAGGGGCUCUCUUUCAGCUUAGGGUACACGUCCGAAUCUAAAUUACCUGGGAACUCAGCUUGUUUUAAAAGCAUCCCUUUCUUAAGCUCCACGACCAUUGGAGAAAGGGGGGUUGGGAGAGAAUCCCUCUGCAGAGCGUUAUUUAAUUUUUUUUUAAAGAAGUGAUGAAGCGUUUUUGUGCUUGGGUGUGUUGUCAAUCUCAUAACAAAAGGUGCUCUUUAAAGGAAUGGCGUUGGGAGCUUGAUCUGCUGCGAGAAACCCAAAAAUCAAUGAAUUAUUAUUAAUAUUUUAGGGGAAAGGGGGAGAGAGCGUGUCUUGUCUACAUAGAAGAGAGACGGUUCUUGACGAAGAUGCAGGCCUUCUUAGAGUCUAUUGAAAAGGGAGGCUAGGAGUUUACAAGAGGGGAAAAGUGCUUCUGAUCAUCCCCUCCCUCCGUCCGCAUUUUCUCCUCUAUCUGUUAAGCUUCCCGCAGCGCGGCUGUCUACUUAAUGGCAAAUUUUUACCUCGUUGCGGUCAUUUUAAAAAACGCUUAGUCCUAGUUGUUUGUUUGUCACAGGAACUUCUAGGUGCCCCCUCCCACCCCCACCCCGUCGCCCCAGUUUAGGAAUGAAUGUUUUGGUAUUUAUUUGGAAAGAAGGUUGCGAUCCUUCCUGCUUGUCCUUUAGAGUAAACACCACGAAAGAGAACAGUUGCUGAAUUUGCGUAAACAUGCAUUAAGAGUGUUGUGUUUUAUAUUUAAAAAAAAAUUAACAGACUGAGAAAAUACGAGCCUGGUAUUUAAUAAAAGGUGUGGAUAUAGAAAAGGCUGCAGAAAUUAUCUGGGUUGUUUGUUUUUACAGGGUAGGUUUUUGUUUUUUGUUUUGUUUUGCUUUGCUUUUUUUGCACACCAAAGGAAGCAAAUGGGGGAUAUUUCUCUCACACACCCCCACCCACUUUGCCCCCAUCCUUCCCCAACGGAGUGUGUGAAACCUCAUCCUGGGGGAAGGGGCCCUUUAACUCGAAUGUUGGGAUGGGGCGAAGCGAGGCGUCUUGAAUAAACAGCCCCGCAUCAAGAGUGUAAAUAACUCUCUGCUUAAGAAGGUGACAGGCUCGGGAGAGAGAGAGGGAGACCCCUGCGUGAGUCUCUUGGAAGGGGAUUGGGAGCGAGGGGGGGUGGGGAGAAAGAAAGAAAACGGAGAAGUCGGUUCCUUUUGCACGGAACGGUUAUACAGCCCAUGAAACGCGGCGCAAGCCCAUCGCUUAGCCCUUAGAUCUUCCGCUCUUCCCUAAUACAAACCAGAUCUCCGCUAUUGUUUAUCAUCCGGGCUCGUGCCCGACAAGUUAUAAAUCGUAUUGCCCUUUUGAUAACGCAGUUGUAAUCAGUUAGCAUCGCAGCCGGGCCCAAUUGUAAAACUGCCUAAUUUAAUAUGUCAGAUGUGCCAUUAAAACUUUAUAUAUUUAUAUACAUAUGUGCAUUCCCUCCCCUUCCAUCUCCCUUGCCCAUCUCUUCCCUAGGAGUGAAAUGUCAACAGUGUUAUUGUUGUUGUUGCAGUUGCUAUUAUUAUUAUUAUUAUUACUAUUACUAUUACUAUUACUAUUAUUUGAAAUAAUGUCUUGGGUUGGAGAUGCAGGGCUUUGCUAAGACAUCUCUAUAUUACUCUAUUACUAUUACUAUUACUAUUACUAUUACUAUUACUAUUACUAUUACUAUUAUUACCAUUACCAUCCCUGAGGGAUAAGCCCUCCCACUAAUGCUUCGGUCUUCGGCACAUAUGCUUGGGAGUGUCUCCCACGGCUUUGAACUUCGUGAGAUUUACUUCGGAAUAAGCGUUUUUAGAAUGCGGGAAGAGGACAUAUAUGUUUGGCCAAGGAAAGGGACUCUUGUCAGCUCGGGUUUCUUUGAAGAGGGGGAAUCACAUUCAUUGCAAAGGUGCCUUGUGAUUAAUUGAGCAAACGCCGGGAGAGGGGGGAUAUUAUUUUAUUCGGAAAAUUCUCUUGCGUUUGCUUGGAAAGUAGAGUUGUGGAAGAAGUCGCUUGGGUUUCAAUGGAUCUUCUUGGUUGGAGGCGGUUCUCAUCGCCCAAAUCCAUUCUCUCCCCCCACUUUCUGAACCCCCAUUAAUAUAGUGUGGCGGCGGCAAGAGAAAUGAAAGGGUGAAUCAUAAGGCCUGGUGACUUUUUCGAAUGUGUAAAAACACACAGCUUUUUUAAUCCCUGGCUUUUCUCUCUUCCCCCCACCUCCUUCUAAAACGUGAUGGUGUUUGGGAGAUUCGUCUCUGAGGAAGCCUGGAGCCCGGACAACAAUCGCGGUCCAAGUUAGCCCCAAUUUGGAUCAAACUUACAGAGGGUUGAUUUUGGUUGACAGAGCGUGUGUGGAGGCUGAACUCCCAUAAUAUGCACUUCUGUUCCUUUAUUAGGCUUGGACAACGAACUAAUGAGCUUUCCAUCAGAAGAUUGUCACUCCUAUUUAUUUUAUUUUCUCCACCCCUCUUCCGAAGAAAACUUGGAGACCGAGGGAAUAGACGUUUUUAAAGGUGUGGGAGCUGGAGAUAGCUACUGAUGCGCACACACACCAACAUCAGGGGGUGGCAUUAUUAUUAGUAGUAGCAUUACUAGACAGCGGGCAAGAUCCAUCGAAAGUUCAGCACUCGGAAAGUCCCAUUGAUUUGGCUUAUGCAGCGCUUCCAAGCAUAUUGACACAGGGGUAAGGCUCCUGGAGUUGACCGUGAUUCUUACCUUAGGGUGGCAGCGAUCCUAUAUACACUGGGUUUGGUAUAUUACACAUAGCUUUGUUGUCCGGCUCGUCCUUAACGUCUCUUGAAAUCUCUCUGCCUUUCUUUGUCUGGAUGGUCUUAAAAGCCACCGAGAACAAGUGUCCCGAAGGAAUGGCAAAGGUCAGAACAUCUCUCUUUUUGCGCCCUGUUGUUGGGUUUCACUAGGAUUCCUUAGGUCGAUUUCAAGGUAGCUGGCGAAGGAAAACUUCCCCAGCGGACAGGGAAGUUUGGGCCGUUUCUGAGCCCGAAGGACGCCUCGCGGCCCCAAGUUUAAAGAAUCUGAUAGGAAGAUGAGAAACGGGAGGACAGAAUGAGAGGAGUGCUGGCUGGUUGGAGGGGAGGGGACGGGACGGGACGUUGAUCCCAUCUCUCUGCGAGAAAUAGGUGCCCACGGGACUCCAUUAACCUACCUGGAAGGCGAUU